rnacentral:rRNA from 1 species
UACAGAGGUCUCAAGCGUUGUUCGGAUUCAUUGGGCGUAAAGGGUGUGUAGGUGGCGCGCUAAGUCGGGUGUGAAAUUUCGGAGCUUAACUCCGAAACUGCAUUCGAUACUGGCGUGCUUGAGGACUGGAGAGGAGACUGGAAUUUACGGUGUAGCAGUGAAAUGCGUAGAUAUCGUAAGGAAGACCAGUGGCGAAGGCGGGUCUCUGGACAGUUCCUGACACUGAGACACGAAAGGCCCAGGGGAGCAAAACGGG